rnacentral:sRNA from 1 species
GACCUUCCCAGAAGCCCUGGGGGAGGCAGUGGCCGUCCCUGGGGACCCUCUCAGCACUGGCUGUAGCCAGGCCCAGCUUGGUGGGUGCUGCUCAAGGGUCCCCCAGGCAUGGAGGGCAACAGAGGGCAGCAGGCCCCACCCUGCCCUGUGGAGAGCGGGAGGGCCCUCAACAGUCAGGCCCAGGGCUGGCAGCACAGACCCCGCCGACCUCCAAGCAGGUAGCCUGGAGGGCCUUCCUCACUGGGACCUACAGAUCCCAGAGCCCCAGACCCCCUGCAGGACCAUUCUGAGGGGGGACAGGUUGGUGGCGGGAGCCUGCGGUGUGUCUGUGUGUGGCUGCUGGGCCCCAGCGCCUCUCCUCCCCAGGGCUGGUCUACAACGCCUCGGGCUCCGAGCACUGCUACGACAUCUACCGGCUCUACCACAGCUGUGCUGACCCCACUGGCUGCGGCACCGGCCCCGACGCCAGGGCCUGGGACUACCAGGCCUGCACCGAGAUCAACCUGACCUUCGCCAGCAACAAUGUGACCGAUAUGUUCCCUGACCUGCCCUUCACUGAUGAGCUUCGCCAGCAGUACUGCCUGGACACCUGGGGCGUGUGGCCCCGGCCCGACUGGCUGCUGACCAGCUUCUGGGGGGGCGAUCUCAGAGCUGCCAGCAACAUCAUCUUCUCCAAUGGGAACCUGGACCCCUGGGCAGGGGGCGGGAUUCGGAAGAACCUGAGUGCCUCAGUCAUCGCCGUCACCAUCCAGGGGGGAGCGCACCACCUCGACCUCAGAGCCUCCCACCCGGAAGAUCCUGUUUCCGUGGUUGAGACACGGAAGCUGGAGGCCACUAUCAUCGGCGAGUGGGUAAAGGCAGCCAGGCGUGAGCAGCAGCCAGCUCUGCACGUGGGGCCCAGACUCAGCCUCUGAGCACAGGACUGGAGGGGUCUCAAGGCUCCUCAGGGA